AAACCAUGGUGACGAAAUCUUCAUUGUAACUCCUGAUAACGCUCCCAAGCUUCGUACAAUGUCUCUCCUUCCUGUUGACAGAAACUCGGUAUAUCGAUGCAAAGUUU